AAGAGACGUUGCCCUUCGGGGUAUACCUCCCACCCUUUGUUAUUAUACCUUUGUUGCUUUGGCGGGCCCGUCCUCGGACCACCGGCUUCUGCUGGUCAGUGCCCGCCAGAGGACCUAAAACUCUGUUUGUUAAUAUUAUCUGAGUACUAUAUAAUAGUUA
rnacentral:misc_RNA from 1 species